CUUUGUUUCUCGUCCUGCCAGAACUGCAUUUCAGUUGUCUCUGACCAGCCACCAAUGUCGGCCGCACAAUGAAGCUGUGUAGGUUUUUUAAGUGUAUGGUUUAUAAUGCUCUUGUGGGGAGCGAUAUUGCGGGAGGUUUGCAGGUUCAGAAUUAUUCAGUUCAUUUACAGCAAUGCCAGCCUUCCAUCAAAUACUAAUUUGGAGAUGUGCCGUGUCUGUCUUUCAGAACUCAAGAAUCAGUGACCUUUAUCUCUGCAGCUCCCUCAGGGAUGCACAUUUUAAUACAUAACUGGAUGGUAUAAAUGCAGACAUCUUUUUCAGGACUUACAGUCUUAUUGAGAAUGCUCAUACAAUUGGCCUUAUUAAAAGGCAUUGAGAUAUAAAAUGUUUUUAAUAGCAGUGGCAAAACCUGUUGCUUUCGAGCUCAUAUCAAAGUCCUACUUUCAAGCUGAGUUACCAACAUCUGUCUGCAAUAUUCCUAAUGGACUUGAUCUGCAGAAUACAUUGCUCUUGUUGCUUUAAAUGUACCUGGGCUGCAUUUGUCAGCUUUGGGAGAAUACCCCCCCACUUCCAUCAUGAAACUUGAGUUUACUCACUUAGGUUCCAUUCACACUGCAGUUUAUUCCAUUUCUCUGAUGUUUCCCUGUUAAUUUCUGCAUUAUAUUUGGGGUGCCAGAAACAAAUGCAUUAUAGUGCCUGAUUAACACUCAUUUCCAUGUUGAUUCCAGAAAAGUCCAUCAAUAGCUCCUUUGCCCUGGAAAAUCAAGGGAGUAAACUGACAAAUUAUGGGGUGAUAUAGCAGCAUACAGUUCUUUCCUGCUGUUUUUGUGGGGAAAUCAUGGAGGAAUAGAAGAACACAUGUGCAGAAAAGGUAGGGGUGUAGCAACAUUGUCAUAGAGCAUUUGUGGGGGGGGGCAAAAUUCCAUGGUUGGGAACGUACUAGAAAUUUCCCUAUUGGAAUAAAUGGAAAUCAUUGACUCAUUAUGUGAAUGCUCACCUAAUGAACAGUUUCCAGGGAACGCAUUGUGUUUGCUAAGUGGAACUUGCCUGCUUUUAUGCUGCUAUGUUUAUUAUUUGUUCUAAUGAUAUUUUGUUUUUAUAUCAUACACUGCUGAAAGAUUUUAGAAAUAUUAAGUGAUUUCUAAAUACUUCAAAAUAAAUAAACAGGCACAUAUAAAGCUGGAGAUUUCCUGCCUUAUGUUCAAUUAUACCAGCACUGUGUGAGGUCAAAGCAAGCUGGAUAAUACGAAGCGCAAGGCAAACGGCUUCCUUAAUGAGCUCCAUACCUCACAGAAGAAGAAAAAAAGCA